rnacentral:misc_RNA from 1 species
GGGACCAGAAGGUCCCG